rnacentral:rRNA from 1 species
GUGGGGAAUAUUGGACAAUGGGGGGAACCCUGAUCCAGCCAUGCCGCGUGUGUGAAGAAGGCCUUUUGGUUGUAAAGCACUUUAAGCGAGGAGGAGGCUACCGAGAUUAAUACUCUUGGAUAGUGGACGUUACUCGCAGAAUAAGCACCGGCUAACUCUGUGCCAGCAGCCGCGGUAAUACAGAGGGUGCAAGCGUUAAUCGGAUUUACUGGGCGUAAAGCGGGCGUAGGUGGCCAAUUAAGUCAAAUGUGAAAUCCCCGAGCUUAACUUGGGAAUUGCAUUCGAUACUGGUUGGCUAGAGUAUGGGAGAGGAUGGUAGAAUUCCAGGUGUAGCGGUGAAAUGCGUAGAGAUCUGGAGGAAUACCGAUGGCGAAGGCAGCCAUCUGGCCUAAUACUGACACUGAGGUGCGAAAGCAUGGGGAGCAAACAGGAUUAGAAACCCGAGUAGUCC